AGAAAAUUGAGGCUGAAAAUUGGGGAUUUGUGCAAUUUUGUAAAACAAUUAGGCAAUGUUAUAAAUUUUUUGGAGCAGAUAUUUUUCGUCGUAAAUUAUUAAGAUCGGGUUCAAUCUGAAGCUGUGAUAAGUGACAAAAAGGAAAAAAAUAAAUCACUACACGAAUAACUAUACAAUUAUUCAAGCCUUGCUUGACAUUGCGGACCAGAUGCUCAAAGUGGUAUUUUUUUAAACCUAAAAAAAUGGAAAUAAACUGUUUCUAAAAAUGUCAUUUUUAUCAUUUUUCUGCAUAAACUGCAUUUUGUCAUGCUUUCUCCAAAUCUCAAAUAAAAAAUAUAGGUCACCGUGCUUGAUUCCAUGAUAAACGCGAUUUAUCCUAAAAAUUGCGUCCCCCCUUUGUAACCUCAACGUUAGCGCUAAAGUGCACGACGUCGCUGGCAGACAAUUUCGACGUUAUCUCUGAAAAUUACCGGCGACAUUUUUCAGAUGUAUAAAUAUUGCUUGUAAAGUACUAUCUAUAAAUUGGUUAUAUUGUUUCCGGAAAUAAAAUCAUGUGAAUAACAAAUACCUCUCUCUGUUUGUGGUCUAAGUGAGAAACAUCUCAAGAAAAGUUAUAACGGAC
rnacentral:lncRNA from 1 species